rnacentral:rRNA from 1 species
GUGUUGUUGGGUAGGGGAGCGUUCUGUAAGCCUGCGAAGGUGGCCUGUGAGGGUUGCUGGAGGUAUCAGAAGUGCGAAUGCUGACAUAAGUAACGAUAAUGCGGGUGAAAAGCCCGCACGCCGGAAGACCAAGGGUUCCUGUCCAACGUUAAUCGGGGCAGGGUGAGUCGACCCCUAAGGCGAGGCCGAAAGGCGUAGUCGAUGGGAAACAGGUUAAUAUUCCUGUACUUGGUGUUACUGCGAAGGGGGGACGGAGAAGGCUAUGUUAGCCGGGCGACGGUUGUCCCGGUUUAAGCAUGUAGGCGGAGGUUCCAGGUAAAUCCGGUACCUUUUAACGCUGAGGUGUGAUGACGAGGCA